AUAUAUAUAUACACACACACACGGAUUUAUAUAUAUAUAUAUAUGUGUGUGUGUGUGUGUGUGUAU